rnacentral:lncRNA from 1 species
AUCGGGUCAAAGACGCUUCAGCUCAGAAAAACCCCCAGUCUAAAAGCAGAGCAGACCAAAGGGGAUGCCAUCGCCACCCCCCACCCCCUUCCAGAAAACACGGGCUUGGUUUUUAACGAAAUUACCCUUCCGUCCCGCGUCCUUCGCUUUCACACCUACUCACUUCGCUCGUGGUAAUUUCGUCCAAUAAAAAUUAGUUACCUUUUACCGCCGGCGGGUCUGAAGUCGAGACCAG